rnacentral:rRNA from 1 species
CUACGGGCUGCUGCAGUCGAGAAUCUUCCGCAAUGGACGAAAGUCUGACGGAGCGACGCCGCGUGCGGGAUGAAGGCCUUCGGGUUGUAAACCGCUGUCAGUGGGGAGGAAAUGCAUCAGGGUUCUCCCUGGUGUUUGACCGAUCCGCAGAGGAAGCGCAGGCUAAGUUCGUGCCAGCAGCCGCGGUAACACGAACUGCGCGAACGUUAUUCGGAAUCACUGGGCUUAAAGAGUUCGUAGGCGGCCUUUCAAGUCGGGUGUGAAAUCCCUCGGCUCAACCGAGGAAUUGCGCCUGAUACUGUUGGGCUUGAGGGGGAUAGGGGUGAGCGGAACUGAUGGUGGAGCGGUGAAAUGCGUUGAUAUCAUCAGGAACACCGGUGGCGAAGGCGGCUCACUGGAUCUCUUCUGACGCUGAGGAGCGAAAGCUAGGGGAGCGAACGGGAUUAGAUACCCCUGUAGUC